rnacentral:rRNA from 1 species
CCUACGGGAGGCAGCAGUGGGGAAUCUUGCGCAAUGGGCGAAAGCCUGACGCAGCGACGCCGCGUGGGGGAAGAAGGCCUUCGGGUUGUAAACCCCUUUCGUGGGGGAAAAAGUCCGCCUCAGGCGGAUGAUGGUACCUCAGGAAGAAGCCACGGCUAACUCUGUGCCAGCAGCCGCGGUAAGACAGAGGUGGCAAGCGUUGUUCGGAAUCACUGGGCUUAAAGCGCGUGUAGGUGUCCUGACAAGUCAAGUGUGGAAUCCCCGGGCUCAACCAGGAAAUGGCACUUGAAACUAUCAGGAUUGAGUUGUGCGUGGGAGGGUGGAAUUCCUGGUGUAGCGGUAAAAUGCGUAGAUAUCAGGAGGAGGGCCGGUGGCGAGGGCGGCCCUCUAUGCAAUGACUGAC